GAUCAUGGCUCAGGAUGAACGCUAGCGGCAGGCCUAACACAUGCAAGUCGAACGGUAACAUAGAUUGCUUGCAAUCUGAUGACGAGUGGCGCACGGGUGCGUAACGCGUAUGCAAUCUACCUUUUACAGGAGAAUAGCCCAGAGAAAUUUGGAAUAAUGCUCCAUAAUAUCAUUUAUCAGCAUUGAUUUAUGAUUAAAGCUCCGGCGGUAAAAGAUGAGCAUGCGUUCUAUUAGCUAGUAGGUGAGGUAACGGCUCACCUAGGCUACGAUAGAUAGGGGCCCUGAGAGGGGGAUCCCCCACACUGGUACUGAGACACGGACCAGACUCCUACGGGAGGCAGCAGUGAGGAAUAUUGGACAAUGGAGGCAACUCUGAUCCAGCCAUGCCGCGUGCAGGAUGACUGCCCUAUGGGUUGUAAACUGCUUUUAUAUAGGAAGAAACACUCCCACGUGUGGGGGCUUGACGGUACUAUAUGAAUAAGGAUCGGCUAACUCCGUGCCAGCAGCCGCGGUAAUACGGAGGAUCCAAGCGUUAUCCGGAAUCAUUGGGUUUAAAGGGUCCGCAGGCGGCCUGUUAAGUCAGAGGUGAAAUCCUACAGCUCAACUGUAGAACUGCCUUUGAUACUGAUAGGCUUGAGUUAUUGUGAAGUGGUUAGAAUGUGUGGUGUAGCGGGUGAAAUGCUUAGAUAUCACACAGAAUACCCAUUGCGAAAGGCAGAUCACUAACAAUAUACUGACGCUCAUGGACGAAAGCGUGGGGAGCGAACGGGAUUAGAUACCCCGGUAGUCCACGCCGUAAACGAUGGAUACUAACUGUUCGUCCCGCUUGCGGGAUGAGUGGUCAAGCGAAAGUGAUAA
rnacentral:rRNA from 1 species